GCAAACGAUCAAAUCAGCUCAAGAAACUACUGUUGUUGUUCAGAAAUCAUUUGGUGAUCAAGCGAAUCAAGCGAUGAGAGUAAAGCAAGUCGUUCUUGUUUGUUUUCUUACGCUGACAUUGGUCGCAUUGGUCAACACUAUUUCCGGUAAUAUUCCUCAUGGUAGACUAAAAAAGAAAACAGGGCCGAUUGAAAAACGGAAUCUUCAUAAACGUGACAUCAUGUCUCGUGAAACACAAGAUUUGGCGAACGACAACCAAGCCCUGAAUCGUGGUUGUCCAGCAUGCUAGUACCUCCACGUACAUGCAUGAACAACAACCUUAAAAUCUACUGGAUUCAACUUAAAAUUUGAAACUAAGAGCAUCAUUAUUUCAAAUGGAAAUAUUAAUUAUAAAGGAUCAUAUAAACUUA